rnacentral:ncRNA from 1 species
AAUGAUAGAGGCGCGGCGUUCAUCAGUACCCUCCGCCCAACCGGCAGUCACCGGGGAGGGGAAAGGGGUCGCCGCCGAAGGGUUCCCCCAGUGGCUGACAGGGGAACGCCUGGGCCGUCAGAGAAUAUCUGACGGACUGCCAUUGAGAUACAAUGGAGCGCUUGCCGA